rnacentral:rRNA from 2 species
UGGGGAAUAUUGCACAAUGGGCGAAAGCCUGAUGCAGCAACGCCGCGUGAAGGAAGAAGGGUUUCGGCUCGUAAACUUCUAUCAAUAGGGAAGAAGAAAGUGACAGUACCUAAAUAAGAAGCCCCGGCUAACUACGUGCCAGCAGCCGCGGUAAUACGUAGGGGGCAAGCGUUAUCCGGAAUUACUGGGUGUAAAGGGUGAGUAGGCGGCAAGUUAAGUAAGAUGUGAAAGCCUGCGGCUUAACUGCAGGAUUGCAUUUUAAACUAAUUAGCUAGAGUACAGGAGAGGUAAGCGGAAUUCCUAGUGUAGCGGUGAAAUGCGUAGAUAUUAGGAAGAACACCGGUGGCGAAGGCGGCUUACUGGACUGAAACUGACGCUGAGGCACGAAAGCGUGGGGAGCGAACCGG